CUCUUUUGCAAUAAGUUCUGCACUGUUGCUAUAUCUUAGUUUCAACACCUGGGAACAACAUAACCAAAGUCUCAAUUUGCUACUGCAGAACUGCUAAUUUAAUUCACUCUUGGAGAGCUGCUACAAUGCUGUGGGCUCCUCUGAGCCUGUGUCUUGAAAUCCCUGUUUUUGUUGUAGGAGCAGAUGCUUAAGAUGAGACCUGAGGUCCUCCCCGGCUCUUCCUACUUUGUACCUGGUUGUUGGUGUUUUUUGUUUGUUUGUUUGUUUUUAGUCUUCCCUAUUCUCUGUGUUAAAGUAUUGUUGAAGCUUGAAUGGGGUUGGUUUGUGGUGGAAGUGUGCUGUCUCUUGACUAAACUGUGGGUAUAGAUCGGCAACAAAGUAUCUACACUGAAUUUGUAGUGUCUCAGUCACUUUCCAGGCUUUUUCAGAAAAAAGGAAAACAUACAGUAUUAAAAUAAACACUUGAUGCUUCGUAUGACAUCUACAAAAAGAGGAAUGGCAGGGUCAGCCAUUAGCUCUAGCAACAAGGGCAGAAUUUGCAGGUUUUGGGGCCAGGGCUGGUGUCUUCAUCUACGGUAGGUCACAUGAAGUCACCGCCAUAAUGAUGUUAUCAUGCAUUCCUUGUGUGAGUGUAGGUCAUAUUAGAUAUGGAAAAUGAUACACCCCCAAAGUAGUGAUAACUGGGAAAAGGGGAGUGAGAAGUAAAGCCAUACAUUGGGAACAUUGAUCCUUUCCCAGUACAUUCUUUCCUGGUCAUAAAACAAACCCUGGGGUUGGAAAAGAGGUGUCCAUCAAACCUGGAAAGGCAGUCUCUGAGAAGAGGCUGAAGCAUUAAUUCUUCUAUAAACAAAGUUUGAGGUGGAUAAGAGUCAAAGCAUCAGGCAACCCACAGAGCGAACGAACCAC
rnacentral:lncRNA from 1 species